UCUAUUCCUCGCUAUUGUUGUUGUCUUCACACAGCUGUCCAACCCGUCUCAUUGUCGUUUCUUUUUUCGUUAACCUCUUAAAUAUGCCACAAAAUAAAUGAAAGAAACUGAACCGUGUGAAGAGAGCGCUUGUGCUGGCCGAGUGAAGUCGCUGAGACGUACUGGAGCUGGAGCAGGAGACCCCGCUGCUGCUGCUGCUCAGAUGGGCUACAGCUUUUCUCACAGCGUCUCAGCGGAGUCAUACGUGUCGACAUGCGACUUACAUGCACCUAGAUCCACAUUCACUUUCUCUGCAGCGGCACUGUUGCAGGUUAAGGACCGUUCCUAGCGGUUUAACAGUUUUGUGUGUUAGUAGUUUAGACUCUGAGGUCAUCCUGCAACACUUGCUGGCGUUUCUGUUACCUUUCUUAUCAUCAGUCUGAGGAAGGUCUUGCCAGCACUCUCAGAAAAAAAGUGCAGUUAUAAAGUUCUGCUGGAAGAAUCCAGUCAAAAUUAUCUGCCCUUCAAAAGCCUUAACAUCUUGGAGGACUUUGCGCUUUAGAAUUUUACUACUGUUUAUCAUACUAGCUACUUUACAUUCAGUAUUGAACAAGUAAAGCAGACCAACCAUGUUUAGACACUGAAUUCAAGAAUUAGACAUCAACAGCUGUCAAUAAACAAUAAUAAACCCUUCAUAUUUUCAUCUUGGAGUCA